UACAGUUCAUGUAACAAAAAUUUAUUGAGCACCCACUACAUUAUGGGAUAAAAGGGAAAAGAUGAAUAAAUAUCACUCUCGUCUCAGGAACCUCAUUGAGAAACUAGAGAGGAAUAUAAACCCAACACUUUCUCCCUGUGGUUCUUGCUCCCUGCUAUAUACCACAGCAGGUCAGAGAGGUAAGGAGCCGCCACACUGCUAUACUCGGAAAUAUUGGGUACAUUUUAUCUCUAUUAUAUCUACGGGUGGCUGUGUCUCUGAAAAACAAAUAUGCCCAAGAAUAUAAAAAUUUAACAUAUUCCGGGCAGAUUUUUUCACAUCUCUUUCAACAUUUAAUACAAAAUACUCAAUGCUGUGGGCCUAGGAAACAGUUGAUGCUAACAGCUGGAUCUACCCGGGCCCUUGCUACGGGCCAGACAGAAAACUCCCUGCAUUACCUAUAUGCUUGCAUUUGCUCUUCAAAUAAUCCUGUGAGGCUUUCUCGAUUGUUAGCUUCCACUUACAGACCUAAGUGUCAUAGCCCAAUUUAAAACUGCCUCGCCAGGCAACGCAUGGCUCAACCAGAAGGGAGCAGGCACUGAAACUCGGGGAUAGAGCAGGUGUUUCCUAAACGAACAGACUUGGGGACAGAACGUCCUAACCGAGCAGGAGGAAAGCCUGGAAAGAAACUGCUGGCCAGGACCUGAACCGGGCGCAUCUCACGAAGAUCACCGCGAGUUCAGGGCAGAGCAAAGAACUGUUGUAUAAUGAAGAUGUGAAUUAUUUGUGGAUGCUAAUGGCAACUGCUAACAUCUAAUGAGUCAGGGAUUGUGUCCAAGGAUUUAUGUACAUUAUCUUGAGUCUCAAAACCUAUGAGGUUGUGUCCUGUCCCCUUGCCUCGAGUUUCAAAAACCACAACACCAUCUAGCAAGGGCACCUGUUGUACCUCGUUUCUGAAGAGUGAGCCUGGGCUGCAAUGAAUUGAUGGCUGGAUCUGCAUUGCCAUUUUGUAACCUUGAGAGAAAAGUCUGGAGAAUCAUAGGUGCAUCAGCCCUGACAACACUGACUCGGAGAACCAAGACCAGCAUUUAACUCCUCGGUCAAAAAUAUGCAGCACCACACGCGCAAAAGGAGUCCCCUGGUGGCCUAGCAGGUUAGAAGAGAAGAUAUCUAACUGUGUCAUCCACAAAAUUUACCACCUAUCUGCAGUUCCUCUGGCCAAAGGUCACAGCAACUCUGUCAUCGCCUCUUUUCCCAUCACCGAUAAGGUCUGUUUUCCUUAGGCUGCAGCCAUCUCAGCUGCUAUCACCAUUGGAUGUACCAAGAGGAGCCACCAUGGUACCACUCAUCACCACAGCGGCCACUUGUUAGGUUUACCAACGGAGGAACACGCACGGCCAAGUCGAUAAAGCAAGAGAGAUUUAUGAAGGCAUCUGAAACAAAUGGGCUGAGUUCAAGAUGGCGCCACCCUGAUGCAGCCGUCGAGUCUGUUGUGACCACAUGUACCACUAUCUCCUCAGUCUCCAUUGCCUCUGCCGCCAUCUUUUCCGCCGUCUCCUCAGUGGAAGUCACAGCCCUUACCAUCCGUUGGCCCAUCAUCAGCCUGCACUAUCUCCACAGGCUUUGCUGUCUGGAGAACUAGUCAUAAACAGAAAAACUGUGGUGGGCACUUUCCUGGACAGGUGAAUACCUGUACAAAUACAAAAUGAAGCAGAAUGUUGGGUGGUUCCUGUAUCUCGAAUAGAAGCACAGUUAUUCGACAUUUCAAAUAAACAUCUUGUCUCACUGUCC